UGCUACAAUAAAACCCGAAAAACUAAAAAAAAAAAAUGUGGCAACUUUAUUAAUGACAGCUCUGAAGCCACCAACCGUAAACACACCCGCCCUCUUGGUUGGAACUCACCGAAAGGCAGCGAAGUACCACAGAUCAUUCAUGGAAAGCCGUCUUCUGUAUAGAAAAUGCCACUGCUAGUACAACACAAGAACUUCAACCCCAAGCAAUAACUCCUCGGUGGAUUCAGCCGUAGCAAUGCUUUUCAAUGUAAGGU